CAAGGUCGUUGUAGUAUAGUGGUGAGUAUUCCCGCCUGUCACGCGGGUGACCCGGGUUCGAUCCCCGGCAACGGCGAUUUUUUGUCUUAUUAUAAUUAUAGUUUUUGUUUCAGAAAAGCUAUCUAGCUAGCCAGUGGAGGGAGCUUGUGAUUUUCACCCCCGCCACUAAAACCCUCUCUCUUCCUUUGCGUCAAAAUAAUUUCGCGUUUGACUUGGCUAAAUCUAAAGCAAAAGGAGUGGAAGAAGAUCAAAAGGAGGAGGAGGUCUUUGAUUAAUUUUACUCGUAUCUCUCUAUAACGGUGCCUCCGGGGACAAGAAGCACUAAAGCUCUUCCAGGGGUCAAGAUCGGUAUCCUUACCCUGUUGGAAUGCGUUGGCACUUCUGCAGAUUACUUCAACUGAUGGAUAUUCAUGUUCCGGUCAAAUUCCUGAUAUUGCGUGGCAGAAAUUUCAAAAGAAUUGUUGCCCUCACACAAAGACUUGGCAUGGAAAAAGAUUUUCAUGCAAGAUAGAUGGCAUAGAGGUAAGUGAAUCCGGUUCCUUCCUCAAAUCAGUUCAAUUUUGAAUUUGCAUUUGUUGCAAAUAAUUAUUGCUGUAGCAACGCCUUUAAUAUGUUCUGAUAUUCAUCUUGCGGAAACUUGAAUAAGCUUGGCUCACAUCAAAUACAAGUCUCUAACCCUUGUAGCUAAGAUGCUUUAACGCUCACGUUUGUUACAUUUCACGGUAUUGGAUGUUACAAAUAUCCAACUUACAUAACCUCAAUUUUCAGUAAGCUGGCAUCUCAGUGGCUCGUGUUGUUCUUCUGCUCUCAACUCGUGAAAUUAUUGACUCUUCCUGAUUACUUCGUUGUUGUAACUAGAAUUUGUUUAUACCUUCUUGAUUGCUGGGAAAGAUACAGAAAGGUUACGCUUAUUUUUAAAAACUUCCUUCUCUUGUGCAUGAGAAAUGUAGGUUUUUGGGUUCAAAAAUCCAUGUCCAGAGGUUACUUCGAGAACUGGUGGCAAGUAUAAAUGAAAUUGCAGAACAGAACCCAUUAUCCCCUAUCUUCCACAAUGGGGCCUCUAGAACAGAGCAAAAUAACCGAUCCCCAGACGCGUGCACACAUCCAGAUCUACUACCCUACUUGCCAAGAUCACGGGUUAAGGGAAAGGGACGAGAAAUUGCGAACAAGUUCUUUGCAGUAGCUAACAUCUUUAUACAAUACUGCUUGUUAGCAUUUAUUUUCUGCUAAUCUAUUCCUUGCAGUAGUUUGCUUUUCCAAAUAAAUUCUGUAUGGUAUAAUUAUUUUUUUAAAAUUAAUCAGUCUGGUGAAGUCUUAACCUCCAGAGAUUGAAGAUUUGAAGGUGA